UCUCUGCACCCAUUGCUUCUGUUUGGCUCAGCUCUGCUAAGUCAUUUCUUAGGAUGCUUUAGUUUUAGAGGAACUUAUGUGUUGUGUUGCAUGUAAAACUAGGGCUCAUGAGUCAAAGAGCAUUCUGUAGUGUUCUGCCUUAUAAACAAAGAUUAAGGAAUAUGCAUUUCUUAUAUAGCUGCCCUAUGACUUUUGAAGAGCCAGCCAAAACAGCUGGUCACAAAUAAUGGGGCUGAGAAAGAAAGAGGAGGCCUCUGACAUGUAUGAAUUGGUUUAUGCAAAUCUUCUGGUACAUCUCAAACAUUUAAGCAUUUAAAAUACAAUUUAACUCCCAAACCUCUCUCAUAUUCUAUUUAUUCUUUUGUACAGGAUCACAGAAUCUUAGGGACUGGAAGGGAGCUUGAAAGAUCAUCCAGUCCAACCCCCCUGCCAGAGCAGGAUCACCUAGACCAGAGAAAGGUUCCAGAAGAUCCCCUGAAGCUGUGCAUCCAUGCUCAGACCUGGAGCCUUUUGUCUCUGGCAAGAAGGUGCAGUUCUGUCCCCUGGAUGGUGGGAAUCUCAGAAGGUGCUCCUGGGAGUUGCUGAAGUUUUUGCCGAUGUCGAAUAUGCAGAAGGUUUCCCUCUGGCAGGCAGUGACCCAGUUCUGAUAUUCGGAGGUGUCGGGAAUCCGGUCCAGGAAAAUGCGGAAGGCUUCCCACACGGCUUCCUGGCAGACUGAAUACCCAGGGAGAUGGAGGAGUCACUAUCCCUGGAGGUAUUCAAGAAAAGACUGAGUUAGAAGAGGAGCACAGAGUUAAAAGAAAGCACCAACUUCAUUAUGCUGUAAGAAGAGACUGAACAGAGCCCAUGCCAGCAGUCAGAACAUGGCUAAAAGGUCCUUCAGUCACAUGGCUGACAGGAGAUUCAGUUCUAAACAUGGAUAUCUG